GUGGGCAGGGGGGUGGGGCCCGGGACUUGUAGCCAUGUGGGGACUAUUUUUGAAUCCCUACUCUUGUUCUGAGCACCACCCCUCUCUCAG
rnacentral:pre_miRNA from 1 species